UGGGGAAUUUUGGACAAUGGGGGCAACCCUGAUCCAGCCAUUCCGCGUGAGUGAAGAAGGCCUUCGGGUUGUAAAGCUCUUUCGGCAGGAACGAAACGGUGAUUAUUAAUACUAGUCAUUAAUGACGGUACCUGAAGAAGAAGCACCGGCUAACUACGUGCCAGCAGCCGCGGUAAUACGUAGGGUGCGAGCGUUAAUCGGAAUUACUGGGCGUAAAGCGUGCGCAGGCGGUUUCGUAAGACAGAUGUGAAAUCCCCGGGCUUAACCUGGGAACUGCGUUUGUGACUGCGAGACUCGAGUGCGGCAGAGGGGGGUGGAAUUCCACGUGUAGCAGUGAAAUGCGUAGAGAUGUGGAGGAACACCGAUGGCGAAGGCAGCCCCCUGGGUCGACACUGACGCUCAUGCACGAAAGCGUGGGGAGCAAACA
rnacentral:rRNA from 1 species